rnacentral:rRNA from 1 species
GCGGAUUAGCGGCGGACGGGUGAGUAACACGUGAGUAACCUGCCUUAGACAUUGGGAUAGCCUCGGGAAACCGGGAUUAAUACCAAAUAAAAUCAUAAUGACACAUGUCAUAACGAUCAAAACUCCGGUGGUCUAAGAUGGACUCGCGUCCCAUUAGCUAGUUGGUAGAGUAAAAGCCUACCAAGGCGACGAUGGGUAGCCGGCCUGAGAGGGUGAACGGCCACAUCGGAACUGAGAAACGGUCCAA